CUAUCUGGGUGCUGCCCUGUUCCUGCCGAUCCGCCCUCGCCGCAGCUUCCCUUGCCGAACCAGUGACCCACCAUCACGUUGCUGCUCCAUUUGGGAAUCUUGGGCGCCAUCGACUGCUCUUCAAACCCUCUAAGUGCUGCUUGGUACGUGCUCUCCAGUGGGUUUAAUUUGGUUGCGAUGGGUUAGGGUUUUUUUGGUUCGCGGUUCUGCUGUUUCGAG
rnacentral:lncRNA from 1 species